rnacentral:rRNA from 1 species
GGACGGGUGAGUAACGCGUGGGUAACCUACCCCAAAGUCCGGGAUAACAGCGGGAAACCGCUGCUAAUACCGGAUGUCUAUACCUUGGGGCAUCUUGAGGUAAAGAACGGUAACGCUUUGGGAUGGGCCCGCGUCCCAUUAGCUAGUUGGUGAGGUAACGGCUCACCAAGGCGACGAUGGGUAGCCGGCCUGAGAGGGUGGACGGCCACACUGGGACUGAGACACGGCCCAGACUCCUACGGGAGGCAGCAGUAGGGAAUAUUGCGCAAUGGACGGAAGUCUGACGCAGCGACGCCGCGUGAGCGAUGAAGGUCUUCGGAUCGUAAAGCUCUGUCCUUGGGGAAGAAGGCGAAAGCUUGACGGUACCCAAGAAGAAAGCCCCGGCUAACUACGUGCCAGCAGCCGCGGUAAUACGUAGGGGGCGAGCGUUGUCCGGAAUUACUGGGCGUAAAG